UCUGAUGGAACGUCAGAGGUUUUGUACCAACAGAAAACUGCUCAGUCUGUUUCUGGUAAUGCAGCUGAGAGUGUCACUAAUUGGAAUCAGGGUUUGCAGGUAAACGGUUCUACUGAGAAUGUGACAAACUGGAUCCAGGCUAGUGACAAUACAAGCGCUGUGACUGACUGGAAUCAGGUGUCACUGGCUAGUGAUGCAGGUGGUGUCACGACUGACUGGAAUCAAGCCUCACAACUUAACAAUGGGUAUCCGUCAUAUAUGGUUUUUGAUCCUCAGUACCCUGAUUGGUAUUAUGAUACAGUUGCACUUGAAUGGCGCUCUCUGGAGAGCUACACAUCGUCUGCUCAAUCAACUGUUCAAG
rnacentral:misc_RNA from 1 species